rnacentral:rRNA from 1 species
AACGAACGCUGGCGGCAUGCCUAACACAUGCAAGUCGAACGAGACCUUCGGGUCUAGUGGCGCACGGGUGCGUAACGCGUGGGAACCUGCCCUUAGGUUCGGAAUAACUCCCCGAAAGGGGUGCUAAUACCGGAUAAUGUCUUCGGACCAAAGAUUUAUCGCCUUUGGAUGGGCCCGCGUUGGAUUAGCUAGUUGGUAGGGUAAAAGCCUACCAAGGCGACGAUCCAUAGCUGGUCUGAGAGGAUGAUCAGCCACACUGGGACUGAGAAACGGCCCAGACUCCUACGGGAAGCAGCAGUGGGGAAUAUUGGACAAUGGGCGAAAGCAUGAUCCAGCAAUGCCGCGUGAGUGAUGAAGGCCUUAGGGUUGUAAAGCUCUUUUACCCGGGAUGAUAAUGACAGUACCGGGAGAAUAAGCUCCGGCUAACUCCGUG